rnacentral:lncRNA from 1 species
AUCCUUCCACCGUUGGAAGCGGGCAGUUGUCGCUGCUCUGUGAAGCCAGCCUCACGCUGUGCCUGCCACAUUAUGGACCGUGAGGCCCAGCUUUCGCAUGGGCCCCAGCCGGUCCACUACGCAACUUGGAACGGGCGGGCCUGCAGUAGCACACCCAGACCAGGCCUGCAGCGCUACACCAGCGUCCACAUCACCUUAAUGCCCCCACUCGGGUUACAAGCUCUCGCUACUGAGCUCGGCGAGUGAAGAGAGUGGAGGCGCGUAUUUAAGAUGGUCAAGCGCCUUCUCGGUUGGCGAGGUGGGACUAAACAAGGAGGAGUGGACUGCUUCCUUCUGCGUCUGAGAGAUGUUCUUAGUGUGGGCUUUUGGCAUUUGUCGUUUUGGGCUAAUUAAUGAACGUGGCCACGUGGACAUGGUUUGGGCAGCCCAUUCGUUGAUUUCAGUGCUAAUUAGGAUAGUGAACCUGCUUCGCACAAAUGGAAACAGUAUAAAAGUGCAGCAAGAUUAAAGCAUGGGACAAAUAUUUUACUUUUACGGCAUGUAAAGCUGCCUCCACAUACUAUAUGAAUGAUGCAUCGUCAAGUACACCAUCGGAUGCAGGUGGCUCAACAGGCACUUCUCUUUUCGAGGGGUCGUUUAUCACAAGCAUUUUUUGGCAUCAGCAUGAAGCCAUCGAGGAGUCUCAUGAACUAUGCAUCGUCAAGUUGAGAUGAUGAAACAUCCGACAAUGAGAGCGAAUCGUGUGAUAAAUAACCUGGCGAUGAUCAAAAUAAGGACCAAAGGGCAAAGGGAUCCAAGACAAGAAGAAGAUCAAAGCACGAAAAGCAAGAACGAACCACAGCAUCAUCAUCAUCUAUGAAGCCCACACCAUGAUGUGCACAGGGUAGACGGCUUUACAACAAAUCCUAACAUGUACAGAGUCACUGACAUUCACUUGUGCCCCAGAACAGGAAGCUGCGAUGUAGUCCUGACUCCUGAGGAGUGCCGAAGCGACGAUGUGCGCAAUCCUCAGCUUUAUGUGCCCACGACGUGGCGCUGGCCGAACCCCGCUCCUCCUUUCACCUUUGUAGACAUUGAUGAGAUCGCCGGCGCAAACUCUCUCGCCCAUGGUGGUGAAGGAGAUGUCUGUCCGUGAGCUUCCUUGGUUGCUUGGUUGCACUUAUGCUUGAUGCCUGCUCCCUGCGAGGUGGCCUAUUUAUAAGGCAUCAGGGAGUUGUAUCCGGAUCCAAGACAUGACGGCUAGAUUGUUGCUCCUUUGCCAUCGACUGUAUUUGGAUGAUGUUCAUUUUUUAAAUGCAACCCUGUAUUUAGACUGUAGUAGUGUCUGUCUGUUGGUAUGAGAAGCUUCAGUUGAUGUGUUUUGUUCCAGUCAUGAUUUGGGGCUGUUUGUUCCUGUGUUAUCUGCAAAUCUUUGACUCUUGAACAGCCACUGAAUGCACCCUGUCAGGACAAAUGAUUUGCCAAUUUUGGACACCUGUGGUGUCUAGUACAUGUAUCAUGUAUGUGUGCAGAGCAGAGAAUGGUUACCGACCUGUGAUGUCCCCAGGUCCAGAGUAUUAAUUUAUCCAUGAAGAAGCAUCUGCGAUUAUGACUGUUGAUUGUGUGAUUAUGCUUGUUAAUUCGAGGCAGUCAGAAAGUUCCUGUCUCAUGCUUGCUGCUAAUCAUUUGCAUUGUCCGGUCUGAUGAAGUGGUUGUUGCAGUCGAGUGGUUGGCUGAACACCUGUGCUGUACUGCUGUAGCCAUGGAAGACAGUUUUUUGGUCAACCUUUUGUUGACAAAUUAAUCCAUGGAUGUCUCCUGUGAUUGGUCAUAGGACCUUAGCAUUUUUCUUGAGGUGUCACAUUUAUGUUGAUCAUUUGCAUUCCAUGAACCAGGAAAGCUGAGCGUGAGUGAUGAAACAAGACCAUUAUAAUGAAGAGUAGCUCAUUUAUUUUUUGUAUCCAGCUUACUCUGCUCUAAACAAACUAGCUUCCUUUUUAAAGAGUGUAACAAGAAAAAGAUUUGAAAGCAUAGAAAGGUGAAAUAUAAGAAGCACCAACUAGGCCAAAGUCAACCUCACAACUACGGUCUUGAUGGUUGAAAAAAGAUGAUAAAAAAAAGUGAUGGUUCGUUGGAGUAGGUUGCGAGGCCCAAGCGGCCGAGGAGUGCAGCGGCCCGUUAUCCUUCCACCGUUGGAAGCGGGCAGUUAUCGCUGCUCUGUGAAGCCAGCCUCACGCUGUGCCUGCCACAUUAUGAACCGUGAGGCCCAGCUUUCGCAUAGGUCCCAACCGAUUCACUACGCAACUUGGAACGGGCGGGCCAGCAAUAGCACACCUCAACCAGGUCCGCAACACUACAACAGCGUCCACAUCACCUUGAUGCCCCCACUCGGGUUACAAGCUCUCGCUACUGAGCUCGGCGAGUGAAGAGAGUGGAGGCGAGUAUUUAAGCUGGUCGAACGCUUCCUCGGUUGGCGAGGUGGGACUAAAAUAAGUGGGGUGUGGACUGAAAAUUGUUUCUGGGGUGGGCUUCUGCGGCUUCUGUCUUUGACGUUUUGGGCUCAUGAACAUGGCCAUGCGGACACGGUUUAGGCAGCCAUUCGUUGGGUUCGAACGAGUGCUAAUUAGCAUACUGAACUUUCUUAGCAGAAAUGGAAACAAUAUCUAAACUGAUGCAUGUUUAAAGCUUCAGGGAGUUCUAUCCGGAUCCAACACGUGACAGCUAGAUUCUUGCUCCUUUGCCAUCGACGGUAUUUGGAUGAUGUUCAUUUUUUAAAUGCAACCCUGUAUGUAGGCUCUAGUGUCUGUAGUAUAUAAAGCUGUAUGUAGUGUCUGUCUGCUGGUAGGAGAAGCUUCCGUUGAUGUUUUUUGUUUCGUUCAUGACUUGCGACUGUUUGUCCCUGCAUUAUCUGCAAAUCUUUGACUCUUGAACACACACCGUGUGCACCUCUCUGGCCAAAUGAUUUGCCAAAUUUGGACACAUGCAGAGCAAAGAAUAGUUGCCAAUGAAAAGCAUCUGUGAUUAUGCUUGUUAACUGUGCGAUUAUGUUAUCUCAUGCUUGCUGCCAAUCAUUUUGUGUUAAUUGUCUUGUCUGAUGAUGUAGCUUCUGCAGUCUAGUGGUUGGCCUUGACCGGUCUUGGUUGAACACAUGUGUUGUACACAUAUUAAAUUAAUCCAUGCCGGUCUUCUAUAAUUGAUCAUAAGUCUGAGUGUGAUUAAUCAAGAUAUUAUGAUGAGGGAUGGGACAAAGUACCAUUUUUUAGCUUAUCAUUUGCAUUCCAUGAACAAGGAAAACUGAGUUAAUUUUGCAUUCCAUGAACAAGGAAAACUGAGUGUGAUAAAGGCAGGGACAGAGUAGUAUCCAGGUUUCCCUACUCUAACAAACUAGCCUCCUUUUAAACAGUGUAAGAAGAAAAAUAUUGGAAGGAUAGAAAAAUGAAAAAAAAGUGAUGGUUCGCUGGAGUAGGCUGCGAGGCCCAAGCGGCCAAGGAGUGCAGCGGCCCGUUAUCCUUCCACCGUUGGAAGCGGGCAGUUAUCGCUGCUCUGUGAAGCCAGCCUCACGCUGUGCCUGCCACAUUAUGAACCGUGAGGCCCAGCUUUCGCAUAAGCCCUGCCGGUCCACUACGCAACUUGGAACGGGCGGGCCAGCAAUAGCACACCUCAACCAGGUCCGCAGCGCUACAACAGCGUCCACAUCACCUUGAUGCCCCCACUCGGGUUACAAGCUCUCGCUACUGAGCUCGGCGAGUGAAGAGAGUGGAGACGGGUAUUUAAGCUGGUCGAACGCUUUCUCGGUUGGCGAGGUGGGACUAAACAAGGAGGAGUGGAGUGCUUCCUGCUGUGACUGAGAGAUGUUCUCAGCGUGGGCUUUUGCAGCUUGUCGUUUUGGGCUCAUGAGCGUGGCCAUGUGGACCUGCUGUGAUUAGCAUAGUGAACCUGCUUAGGGGAAAUGGAAACAAAUAUAAAUUGCUGCAUGUUGAAGGAUGGGAUAAUUCUUCCGCCUUGUUGAGCAGUCUUCUACUCUUGCCCAACCCUCUCGAAACAGCCCAAACAAGCAAGAAAAAAAAGAAAAAAAGGGAAGUAUUUACUGCUUGCAAAGCUGCCUCGACAUAUAUUUGCACUUCUCUUUUCGAAGGGACGCUUUAUCACAAGCAUUUUUGGCAUCAGCAUGAAGCCAUCGAAGAGUCUCAUGAACGACGCAUCGUCAAGUUCAGACGAUGGAAUGUCUGAUGACGAGAACGAAUCGGGUGAUAAACGACCUGGUGGUGAUCAAAAUGAGGACCAAAGGAUGCAAGACAAGAAGGAGACCAAAGCACGAAAAGCCAGAACGAACCACAUCAUCUUCAUCUACAGAGGAGCAAUUUUCUCAAACCCAUAAAAGUGGUUACAAGUGGGAGCGGCUUACAACAGAUCCUAACGUUUACAGAGUCAGUGGCAUUCACUUGUGACCAAGAAUUUGAAGCGUUGAAGCGACUGAGUGCAUCACGAUGUGUACGAUCCUCAGCUUUAUCUGCCCACGACGCGGUGCCGGACGAACCCGGAUCGGUCUUUCGCCCUUGCAGACUCCGACGAGAUCGCCGGCACAAACUUUCUCGGCCAUGGUGGUGAAGGAGAUGUUUGGGACUCAACGUUUUUUUUUGGUUGCUUGCUUGCACUUAUGCUUGAUGUCUGCUCCCUGGAUGGUCUCAUCUAUUUAUAAGACUUCAGGGAGUUUUAUCUGGAUUCAGAGGCAUGAUUUUGGGCUGUUUGGCUGUCGCUGAGUUUAUCUGUAAAUCUUUGACUCUUGAACAGACAGUGUGUACACCUGUUAGGCCAAAUGAUUUGCCAAUCUUGGACGCUUGUGAUGUGCAAAGCAGAAGAAGCGUCUGCGAUUAUGAUUGUUGAUUGUCUGCUAAUUGGAGGCAAUCAGGAGGUUCCUCAUAGCACUUUGUUGCUAAUCAUUUGCACUAUUUUGUCCUGUCUGAUGAUGCAGCUGCUGCAGUCUAGUCGAGUAGUGGUUUGAACACCUGUAUGGAUGUACUCCUGACCUCACGGAAGACAUUUUGGUCAACCUUUUUGUUGAUAAAUUAAUAGAUGGAUGUCUCUUCAUUUUCUUGUGGUGGCACUUUCCUGCUAAUCAUUUGCAUUCCCUGAAUCAACAAAGUAGAACAUUGAUACAUGGUUGUCACUUGUCUCCUUGGAUCAACCAUAUGGUUAAGGGCAUUUUUAACCGAUCCCCUGUCCAGCGACCAGCGUUACAGGAGUAAAAAUUCGGUUUUACUCCUCUAACGCGCACCUAACCUAUCCCCAAUCUGCUCUAGUGGAGUAAAAAGUAUCCUCCAGCGUCUAUCCUUUCCCUAAAUAUACUUGGUCGUUGCGGCUCCAGGUAAAAGUCGCCCCUCUCCCUCACAUCAACCCCCGUCACUGCAGCUUCGCCGGCGCGCCUCCUGACGACCGCCCUCCAGCCCCGCCUUUUCCUCGUGGCCUUCCUUGGCCCCAUCCGCGCCUCUUCCUCGUGGCCUUCCUUGGCCCCAUCCGCCCUACUGCCCGACGUCGAGCCUGCUCGGCCCCGCAUCUCACUUUGCUUGCACACCGCUGCAGGUUUUAGCCAUUUUGGUUUAAACGACAUCGGCCGACAGGUGCACCACAACCACACCGCAAGUGUUCGACGAGUUUCCUAGGUGAGUUUUUUGUUCGUUUCUUUUUGAACCAAGCAGUUCAGUUUAAACGUAGCCGUAUGAAUAAUAGAUGAAGAGAUUGAGGAAGAUGGUCUUCGAGUACUCGUCGUCGUAUAUAGAGAAAGAAGACUACGAUAACCUUGACACCGUUUUAGACAUGAUUUUCAGUUAUGAUGUUGGGCUGCCUAGGACAGGAUCACAAUUUGGCUGCAUACAUAUCAACCAUGAUGAUAGAGCGAAGGGUUAUGCCAAGACCAGUUGGUGUGUUCAAAUUUGAAUAAUUUGGUCUGUAAACUUUCAAUUCCGUGUGUAAACUACAUUCAUGAUUAGCUUAAACAUUCAUAUUAUAUUUAGUUUGUAUGUGUGCUAAUAUGUACUUGCAAUGUAUAUUAGAAUUGCAAAGGUUAGAAAAAAAGAAAAAAAACUCCGCUAUAUAUAGGGGAUCAGCCAGUCCGGCCAAAACUUUGUGAGUAAAUAUACUCCACUAAGGAUUUUACUCGGCCGGAUCCUCCACUAUUUAUUGAUCAUAAAAAAAGAGAUGCCCUAACCUUUUGUUGAUGCAUUGGUACAUGGUUAUCUCCUUUGAUUUUUAUUUUUGCGGGGUAAAAGGGGAUUCUAUUACUCAAGGAGGCAAAUCAGCCAGUGCCAGUUUCAGCUAGGGUGUGACUGACUUUAUUUUGUAAGCGACUAAUAGACAUAAUAGAAAUCUCCCUAUAUUAAUUCAGCUUCAACCAUCCUCUUAAUCUCCUCGAAGAGGAAGCGAUGCGUAAAUCAGUCCCUUGUGGGGGUGUUCAGCAUGUUGACGGCUUCAACACUAUCCAUCUCAACAAGAAUUGGCAAGUCAGUGCGAUGCAAGGCUAGCACAAGUCCCUCCAUGCAUGCUGUCAACUCGGCUUCUAGGCCAUUAUCGCAUGUAUGAAUAUUUCUGCAUGCAGUAAAGAUGAUAUCUCCCUUUUCCGAAUGGUAUAUUGUUUAGCUAUGGGUAUAUGUACGAGACAAGAAGACCAUUGAAGGUAUAUCCUUCUAAGAUAACUUUUGUAGUCAUCACGGCAUAUAGAACAAAUUUGCAAGUUUGAAUGUAUAUGGGUGUUUGUGCUCCGGCACACAUUUUUUUGUUAUAUCCAUGAUGAUACAGGAAGGCAAGACCUUUCUACACCCUAUACGCCGUGAGUUUUGACUCUCGAUUGAUGUGCGUGGAUUUUUGACUUAGGGCACGUACAAUGCAUAGCCUCAGGGUGAUGCCCCGUAUAUCAUGUAGGAUCAGUUAUCAGAAAAAGUAGGUUCAGAUAAGGAAGCGGGAUCCUAUGCAGGAGGCGGAUGAUUAAGAGAAAAGGCGUGGUCCGGUGUAAAAAGUUGAAAAAAAUUAAAGUGAAAAGUAGAGAUGCAUGUGUAUCAGAGUCUUUAUUUUUUAUUUGUUGAUGAGGCACCUUGAUGUUAGCUUGCAUUGGAGAAUUUUUUUUUAAUAUAGAUGACUCAAGCUGCUUUUUAUCAUGGGGCAUCUGUAUCGAUAUGCCACCAUUAUACAUGCCUUAGUCACCUCUAUCUGUUUAAUAAAUGUUUAGUUAAAAAAGCAGCAUGCUCCUUGGGAGCACUUACGCGACGCUAUCUACGUCAAUUUGCUGGUGUUUCGCAUAGGCAAACCCCUGACUAGCACAUAUGACACUCCGGACUAUAGCCGAAGGGGCCUGUAGAAUUUUAUUGUCUCAUUCUUUAACAAUUUUUUUUUAAAAAAAUGAAGAAAAACGCAAGCAUUUUAGAAAAAAACAAAAACAUUAAAAAUUUGGAUCAUUUAAAAAGUUGUACUUUUCCUAUUNNNNNNNNNNNNNNNNNNNNNNNNNNNNNNNNNNNNNNNNNNNNNNNNNNNNNNNNNNNNNNNNNNNNNNNNNNNNNNNNNNNNNNNNNNNNNNNNNNNNNNNNNNNNNNNGAUGGUUGGAAAAAAACAAAAACAUUAAAAAUUUGGAUCAUUUAAAAAGUUGUACUUUUCCUAUUUUUUAUAUAUAAAUCGGGCAUUUUCUAAGAUAUCAUAUUUUUUGGAAAUUUGAAAAUAUUGUAAAACACUAGCAUUUUUUUUAAUCCGAACAUUUUUAUAAACAGGAUGUUUUUUGAAAUUCCCAACUUCUUUUGUAAACAUGAACAAUAUUUAAAAGUACGAUAUUUUUUUGAGCACAUGAACAUAUUUGAAGUUCCAGAAAAUAGUGUAUGAUUGACUUUUUGAAUUUGUAAAGAUUUCUUGAAAAAAUGAACUUUGUUGAAAAGUGAGAAAUGUUUUUGAAAAAUAAGUUUCAUUUUGCAAAAAAGAGUAAAGAAAAGAAAAGAGAGAGGAAAAAAUGUUCAGGAACCUUCUAGAAGGUUCUCCAAAUCGGGUCCCGUUUGCUACCUACAAAUGGGCUGCCACAUUUACGUAGCUCCCUUCCCUCGGUUGUGCGUUUCCUCGAGAAUCUGAUACAAUGUGCGUCAAAUAGGAAACACCUGACGGGGGUUAGUAUGACUAUGAAGGCAUUGAGGAGUCUCAUGCAUGAUGCAUCGACGAGUUCACACCACAUCCUUGUCGUGGUAGUGAUCAAAACAGGGACCAAGAGGAUGCAAGCACACCAUGAAAAGUGAGAACGAACCACACCAUGACCAUGAUCAUGUGCAGAUCGAAAGAGGAGUAACUUUCUCAAACUGAUAAAAUACAGCUACACAUAGGGAGCGGUUUACAACGGAUAAUAACAUCUACGAGCCAGCCACAUACAUUGACUUCUGAUCAAGAAUUUCAUGGUGGUGAAGGAGGUGUCUGUGACUAACUUCCUUGGUUGCUUGCUUGCAUUUCUGCUAGAUGUCUGUUCCAUUCGUGCUCAUCUACUUAUAAGGCUUCAGGGAGCUUUAUCUGGAUGGAGAGACAUGACAACUAAAUGCUUGCUCCUUUGUUGUGUUGUUGUAGGGCGUCGUCGGCUGUGUUUGGAUGAUGUUCAUUUUAAGAACUAACUGUACGAAGUGUUUGUUGUUGGUAUGAGAAGCUUCUGUUGAUCUGUUUUGUCCAAGGAUGACCUGGGGGCUGUUUGUCCCUUCAAAUCCUUGAGUCUUGAACGGCCACUGUGUGUGCACCCUGUCAGGCCAAAUGAUUUACCAAAUUUUGGACACCAGUGGUGUCUGGUGCAUGUAUCAUGUAUAUGUGCAGAGCAGAGAAUGGUUGCCAACCUGUGAUGUCCCCAGAUCAAGAGUAUUAAUCUGUCCACGAAUAAGCAUCUGUGAUUAUGUAUGCUUGUUAAUUGGGGGCCGUCAGAAGGUUCCUGUACCAUGCUUGCUGCUAAUCAUUUGCAUUGUGCCGUCUGAUGAUGUGCUUGCUUUGACUGGUCUUGGCUCAACACCUGUGCUGUACUGCUGCAGCCAUGGAAGGCAAUUAUUUGGUCAACCUUUUGUUGAAAAAAUGAAUGCAUGGCUGAACCAGCAAAUUUUGGACACCAGUGUUAGUGAUGAAGGCUGGGACAGAGUAGCUGAAUUAUACUGUAUCCAGCUUACUUGCUCUAACAAACUAGGCCAAACUCAACCUCGCGCCGUCUUGAUGGUUGGAAAAAAAAAACAUAACCGGAGUAGGCUGCGAGGCCCAAUCGGUCAAGGAGUGCAGUUGGAAGCAGGCAGUUGUCGCUGCUCUGUGAUGCCAGCCUCACGAUGGACCGUGAGGCCCAGCUUUCGCAUAGGCCCCAGGCGAAGCCAGCCUCACGAUGGACCUUGAGGCCCAGCUUUCGCAUGACAGGCCCAGCUUUCGCAUGGGCCCCAGGCGAAGCCAGCCUCACGAUGGACCUUGAGGCCCAGCUUUCGCAUGGGCCCCAGGCGGUCCACUACGCAACUUGGAACGGGCGGGCCAGCAAUAGCACACCCACACGAGGCCCGCAGCGCUACAACAGCGUCCACAUCACCUUACUGCCCCCACUCGGGUUACAAGCUCUCG